UCUCCUGUACUCCUGGACGGUCGUCAUUUUUGAGUCGUGUCCCAAAAAUGGGCCCUGUUUUUUCUCUUGUAUUUAUAGUUUUACGCUGUCUGGCUUAAUUUUUUGAGAAAAUGACCACCCUUAACCCAACCACUAUCGGUAUCCAACUUUUGAUUAAAAUGCGACAGGUUUGUGCUUCAAAAUUUUCCAGAAAUAUCACUACCGGAAACAAUAUAUUUCUUCUUUGGAAAAUAAACCCGACAUGGUGAAGUUGUACAAGAACCCAUCCAGCACUUUGGCACUAGAUUGUCAUCAGUUUUGUAAUUUAUGGAAGGAAUCCAAAUUCAACUGGACUUCCAAUAUACACAAAUGGAUACUCACAAAAAAAUUGGCACAUUUCAACCUCGACAAAAUGAUCGCCUUCAAAUUCUACAUUUCUUCAACAUCAACUUUGUUACAUACUGAGCCUUGCCCGCUGCUUGGAACACAUCUGACUAUUUAGCUAAAAAGGUCAAACCCUGUAAAUCUAAAUGUGAUUGGAUAUCAAUAUUAAUUAUGAGUUCUCAUCGUUUGAAAAAAGUUAUAUAGUUCUAAAAAAUUGGAUUGAAAGGUCAUUUGCGGCUUUUUUAGUAUUUUUAUUGCAAUUUUUUUUAAAAUUAUUUUGUAAAAUUAACAUUGAACUCGUAAUGAAUACCCCCAUUACUUAAGUAGGUCUAGCACAUUUACUCUAGUAUCCUUAGCUGGAUGUUUUAUAUUCAACCUGAUUCCUUACCAUUGACGUGUCCAAAUAAUGAGAUGAGGUACUAUAUAAUACUUAACUAUCUAUUUUCUAGCUUGUUCACAAGGUAUAUACUUGAACAGGUGAAUGUGAGUUUUAAAUAAUUCGUCAGAUGUACUAUAAGAUCCUAUAACUUUUGUUCGUCAAAACGUGAAUUUGCUGCAAAAAAAGGUGCAAGACGUAACUCACUUUUUCUUACCUUCUUCUUGAUGAAUGAGGAAUAGUGCUGUAGCGGUGGGCGACACUCAUUAUGCGGUCAACUUUUAUUGUACAUAUGCUGUCUAAAAAUCUUCCAACUUGUAAACUGCUGCUACUAGAUGUCUGAUUAUGAGACUACGUAUGUAUGAUGUAUACUGAUGUAUAUGAUGGCAUAUGUGUAUAUGUAAGGUGAGAAGGAAUCGCGUGCUGCAUUCUCAAUUGCUGUAAUUAUUGAGCAGUAGCCAGCGCCAGGCGCAAUUGACGUUACUGGACUUGAAAAAAAACUUGAGAAACACUCAGGGUCGAUGACUAAAUUUACCUGUCAGGUGAUGAUGGGGUUGCAACAGAUUCAAAGAAAUUGUGCUCGGCAAUGAACCAAUCAUUCCAAUAGAUUUUGAAUAGGCACUAGUAGAGUAUCUCAAAUUUUUGCAGCAGAAUUUACAAUCAUCGUCUCUACCAGCAGCCAGCAAGAAGACGCUCCUAUCCAUGUACUACGCGGUUAUUCGAAAAAUGAAUAGGAUCGAACGCAUUGGACCAAUCAAAUAAUCCGCUGUUACGCGAAGGAUAUGACCGAUUGGACAAUUAAAAUGAGAGAAUUGUAAGCAGAUGUCAGCGGCACCAAUAUUUGAGACGAACUAAAGUAUCUAAAGAAUAAUCGGUACACGACCGUAGACGACUUAAGCAGUGAGUACUUGUGGUAUAAGUCAUUCACUGUAAAGGAUUAUAAAUUGCUCAUUUAUCGAACUGAUAUACAUAAUUCCUGUAAUAUCUAAGAAUUUCACGUCUACCCUUAGCAGCACUAGCAGUUAUAGCUAGUCGUAGGUGUUCUGUGCCAGUGUGAAAGUGUUUUUUAAAAAUACUAAAUGCCACUUUCUGCGAGGCAGGCAAUCUACCAUUGUGCUCGCAUAAUGUUUAAUCGACAAAAUCUGCAUAUACAUAAAACUAAAAAUUAUUGGUGAUAUGGUAUACUUAUGGUAUAUUAUAAAUACAUAUAUAUUGAUUAGAAUUAUUUACUUUGUAAAAGGUAAAUAAGUGCCAAAUAAACUGUCUAAUUGUAAUACUAAAUUAUGUCUUUGGAGUAAGUUGAAUGCCUUCACGAUGCCUCUCGCCGGGUAAAUGGGAGACAUUGCCCAGGAUUCUGCUUGCAAAAUUUUCAAUUUUUCAUCUCAGUUAUUAUGACAUAUAUAAUUAUGAAUUGUCUAAACAUGAUUUUUCUAUAACAUUAUAUUAUAUUCUUACAUACGCAAGAGACUGUCAAUACCGUAGAAAACACACAGACUAACUUGGCACGCACAUAAUUUUUUGUCUGAAAUCUUUUGAAACGCACAUAAAAAUGUGAUAAAUUUUUACUCUGCUUCUGCUUAAGAUGAUAUAUAUAAAAAAAAAAAAAAAACCUUUAUUACAACCACUGGACCCCACGAAUGGGCCAUUACCCAGGGAGGGAGAAGAGUACCUGUAUAUAUGUAUGCAUAUAUGUAUGCAUAAGAAAAAAUUGUACUUGUUUAAUAUUGUAUUUAUGUAAUACAA